UACGUAGGGUGCGAGCGUUGUCCGGAAUUAUUGGCGUAAAGGGCUCGUAGGCGGUUUGUACGCGUCGGGAGUGAAAACCCAGGGCUUAACCGUCUGGGACUGGCGUUCGUAUACGGGCAGACUAGAGGUAGUGCAGGGGAGGAACGGAAUUCCGGUGGUGGUAAGCUCGGUGAAUGCGGCAGAUAAUCGAGGAGGAACACCGGUGGCGAAGGCGGGAUCGAUCCUGGGCUGACUUGAACCUGACGCUCGAGGGCAGCGAAAGUGUGGGGUAGCGA
rnacentral:rRNA from 1 species